rnacentral:ncRNA from 2 species
CAAUCUGGAGAGCGGUGUUAAGAAACGCCCACCGAAGGAGACGUCACGGUAACACCCCACACGGCGGGGAGGUGGCGAAACUCUCAGGUCCAAAGACAGAUGG